AGUGACGGGGACACUAUACCCACCCCACUCCCCGAUUAGCUAAGCAGGAUUGAGCCUGGUUAGUACCUGGAUGGGAGACCUCCUUGGAAAACUAGGUUGCUGUUGGAA
rnacentral:rRNA from 1 species